rnacentral:rRNA from 1 species
CUAAUACAGGGAGGUAGUGACAAUAAUAACGAUACAGGGCCCUUCGGGUCUUGUAAUUGGAAUGAGUACAAUGUAAAUACCUUAACGAGGAACAAUUGGAGGGCAAGUCUGGUGCCAGCAGCCGCGGUAAUUCCAGCUCCAAUAGCGUAUAUUAAAGUUGUUGCAGUUAAAAAGCUCGUAGUUGAACUUUGGGCCUGGUUGGCCGGUCCGAUUUUUUCGUGUACUGGAUUCCAACCGGGCCUUUCCUUCUGGCUAACCUUGGUCCUUGUGGCUCUUGGCGAACCGAUUUUUACUUUGAAAAAUUAGAGUGUUCAGCAGCGUAUUGCUCGAUAUAUAGCAUGAAUAUAGAUAGACGUUUGGUCUAUUUUGUGGUUUCUAGACAUCGUAUGAUAUAGGACGGUCGGGGGCAUCAGUAUUCAAUUGUCAGAGGUGAAAUUCUUGGAUUUAUUGAAGACUAACUACUGCGAAAGCAUUUGCCAAGGACGUUUUCAUUAAUCAAGAACGAAAGUUAGGGGAUCGAAGAUGAUCAGAUACCGUCGUAGUUUAACCAUAAACUAUCCG